GAUGAACGCUGGCGGCGUGCCUAAUACAUGCAAGUCGAGCGAACAGACGAGGAGCUUGCUCCUCUGACGUUAGCGGCGGACGGGUGAGUAACACGUGGAUGACCUACCUAUAAGACUGGGAUAACUUCGGGAAACCGGAGCUAAUACCGGAUAAUAUAUUGAACCGCAUGGUUCAAUAGUGAAAGACGGUUUUGCUGUCACUUAUAGAUGGAUCCGCGCCGCAUUAGCUAGUUGGUAAGGUAACGGCUUACCAAGGCAACGAUGCGUAGCCGACCUGAGAGGAUGAUCGGCCACACUGGAACUGAGACACGGUCCAGACUCCUACGGGAGGCAGCAGUAGGGAAUCUUCCGCAAUGGGCGAAAGCCUGACGGAGCAACGCCGCGUGAGUGAUGAAGGUCUUCGGAUCGUAAAACUCUGUUAUUAGGGAAGAACAAAUGUGUAAGUAACUAUGCACGUCUUGACGGUACCUAAUCAGAAAGCCACGGCUAACUACGUG
rnacentral:rRNA from 1 species